rnacentral:rRNA from 1 species
GAGGGAAGUUUGUGGUGUUAACGGAUAGAGCAGGCGUAUCUGACGAGUAUUCAAUCAUGUUUCUGGCUUCCAAUUUUUCUUGAUCUCCAGAUUGGGCAAUGAAUUAUUGGCUUGUCGCUACAUGAUGCAUUUACUCGUGAUGUGCGCAUAGGCCUCCGGUGUGGUAACGUGAUCACGGAUUUGAGGCCAGCUUGCUGGUACCCGAACCGAGGGAGCGUUAUUUGCCCCGGGGGAAUGGCGCAUGGCUUACGGGCCCGAUUGGGUACCGAGCUGAGUGACGGAAGCGGUCGCACGCGACACGUGCUGCGCAUUUAGUUCGGUCCAUGUCGAGCUCACAUGCGUGCUCUCUGCGUAAAAGCCCGUUAUCUAUCCGACACGUCUUGAAACACGGACCAAGGAGUUUAUCGUGUGCGCGAGCCAAUGGGUGUCCAAACCCAAGGGCGCAAUGAAAAUGAAAAUCUCCCAAGAAAAUAAAGUGUGAACUUUGUCCUCUCCAGUUCCUUGAGCAACAUGGCCCCCUCCUAACUGCUUGGAAUGGGGUGGAAGAAAAACGUAUUCUGUUAGACCCCAAAUAUGGGGAACCAUUCCCUAGCUUGAGCAAACCCCGAGAUAACUUCUCUGGGAAGUCCCCAAGCCGUUUCUUGACCUUUUUAAAUCUUAAUCCUUUGUUACUUUUUUGAUCUUGUUGUCUAUAUGAAAUUUAUUUGCAUUUCAUCCCUCAUUUUCUCUUGUUUCUCC